GGGCGUAUGGUCUAGAGGUAUGAUACCUGCUUUGGGCGAUUGUUCAUUGCAGGGGGUCUUCGGUUCGAAUCCGGAUUCGCCCC
rnacentral:tRNA from 1 species